GACGAACGCUGGCGGCGUGCUUAACACAUGCAAGUCGAACGGAAAGGCCCUGCUUUUGUGGGGUGCUCAAGUGGCGAACGGGUGAGUAACACGUGAGUAACCUGCCCUUGACUUUGGGAUAACUUCAGGAAACUGGGGCUAAUACCGGAUAGGAGCUCCUGCUGCAUGGUGGGGGUUGGAAAGUUUCGGCGGUUGGGGAUGGACUCGCGGCUUAUCAGCUUGUUGGUGGGGUAGUGGCUUACCAAGGCUUUGACGGGUAGCCGGCCUGAGAGGGUGACCGGCCACAUUGGGACUGAGAUACGGCCCAGACUCCUACGGGUGGCAGCAGUGGGGAAUAUUGCACAAUGGGCGGAAGCCUGAUGCAGCAACGCCGCGUGCGGGAUGACGGCCUUCGGGUUGUGAACCGCUUUCGCCUGUGACGAAGCGUGAGUGACGGUAAUGGGUAAAGAAGCACCGGCUAACUACGUG
rnacentral:rRNA from 1 species